rnacentral:rRNA from 1 species
UACAGAGGGUGCGAGCGUUAAUCGGAAUUACUGGGCGUAAAGGGCGCGUAGGCGGUGAAUUAAGUUAGAUGUGAAAUCCCUGGGCUUAACUUAGGAACUGCAUCUAAGACUGAUACGCUAGAGUGCGGUAGAGGAUAGUGGAAUUUCCGGUGUAGCGGUGAAAUGCGUAGAUAUCGGAAGGAACACCAGUGGCGAAGGCGGCUAUCUGGACUGACACUGACGCUGAGGCGCGAAAGCGUGGGGAGCAAACAGG